rnacentral:lncRNA from 1 species
AAAAUGGGUUUAUUUAGGAUCAGCAAAGAAGUGCAAUUUGGAGUCCGCAACCACUGCACACACUGUGGAAGUCCGGAGCAGCAAGGGGAGGAGAAACUCUUAUAGACGGGAAGAGGAAGUUGGGAGGGUUACUGUAAACAAGGAGGCCAUUGGAGGAGACUUGGAGCUCCAAGUGUAGUGGCUUUUCAUUGGCUGAGCUUCUUGCUGGCUAAGAAGAGGAAGUAUUUCUUCUUCUGGUUGGACUGCGCUGUCAAUGACAACGUAGGGCGUGAGAGCUGCCCCUUUUGGCCUCCUGACUCCAUGUUAAUGAGUGGCUGUCUUUGUACGAGAAGGCUAGCAUCCAUUCUCAGCUAACCGGAAGCUGAUAUGCUGGACGUGGCCAGGCUUGAAUGCUCUGCGCACAUGCCUCCUGAAGAGAAUGAAAUGUACGCUGGACGUUCCCCAGAUGAGAUUGCCGUCCGUGUCCAGCACCAGGCAAAUUCUCCUCAUUCCUUUCACUUAGUCCUGGCCUCACGAUCCAGCAUUUUUAUAGGAGUUUUAAGGUUUUAUGUUUCUAUUAAAAUUUUCCUUAUUGGUAUAAUCCUACCCAGCAUAUUCUUUCUCUUUUCAACCUGGUGUUAGGGCUGUGAUUAUGAAAACAAUAAGACACCAAAUAGUAAAUCAACAUUUG